UUGAGGGGUUAAGGCUCCCAGUAGACGACUGGGUUGAUAGGCCAGAUGUGGAAGCCCGGUAACGGGUGGAGCUGACUGGUACUAAUAGGCCGAGGGCUUGUCCUCAGUUG
rnacentral:rRNA from 2 species